GACGAACGCUGGCGGCGUGCUUAAUACAUGCAAGUCGAACGGAAAGGCCCUGCUUUUGUGGGGUUCUCGAUUGGCGAACGGGUGAGUAACACGCGAGUAACCUGCCCCUGACUUUGGGAUAACUUCAGGAAACUCGGGCUAAUACCGGAUAUGAGCUCUUGCUGCAUGGUGGGGGUAGGAAAGUUACGGCGGUUGGGGAUGUACUCGCGGCUUAUCAGCUUGUUGGUGGGGUAGGGGCUUACCAAGGGUUUGACGGGUAGCCGGCCUGAGAGGGUUACCGGCCACAUUGGGACUGAGAUACGGCCCAGACUGCUACGGGAGGCAGCAGUGGGAAAUAUUGCACAAUGGGCGGAAGCCUGAUGCAGCGGCGCCGCGUGCGGGAUGACGGCCUUCGGGUUGUAAACCGCUUUCGCCUGUGACGAAGCGUGCGUGACGGUACUGGGUAAGAAAGCACCGGCUAACUACGUG
rnacentral:rRNA from 1 species